rnacentral:rRNA from 1 species
UACGUAGGGUGCAAGCGUUGUCCGGAAUUAUUGGGCGUAAAGAGCUCGUAGGCGGUUUGUCGCGUCGAAUGUGAAAACCCGGGGGCUCAACCCCGGGCCUGCAUUCGAUACGGGCAGACUAGAGUUCGGUAGGGGAGAUCGGAAUUCCUGGUGUAGCGGUGAAAUGCGCAGAUAUCAGGAGGAACACCGAUGGCGAAGGCAGCUCGCUGGGACGGUACUGACGCUGAGGCGCGAAAGCGUGGGGAGCAAACAGG